ACGAACGCUGGCGGCGUGCUUAACCCAUGCCAGACGCACGGAAAGGCCCUGCUUUUGUGGGGUGCUCGCGUGGCGAACGGGUGAGUAACACGUGAGUAACCUGCCCUUGACUUUGGGAUAACUUCAGGAAACUGGGGCUAAUACCGGAUAGGAGCUCCUGCUGCAUGGUGGGGGUUGGAAAGUUUCGGCGGUUGGGGAUGGACUCGCGGCUUAUCAGCUUGUUGGUGGGGUAGUGGCUUACCAAGGCUUUGACGGGUAGCCGGCCUGAGAGGGUGACCGGCCACAUUGGGACUGAGAUACGGCCCAGACUCCUACGGGAGGCAGCAGUGGGGAAUAUUGCACAAUGGGCGGAAGCCUGAUGCAGCAACGCCGCGUGCGGGAUGACGGCCUUCGGGUUGUAAACCGCUUUCGCCUGUGACGAAGCGUGAGUGACGGUAAUGGGUAAAGAAGCACCGGCUAACUACGUG
rnacentral:rRNA from 1 species